AGGGAGCUUGCUCCCGGAUGUUAGCGGCGGACGGGUGAGUAACACGUGGGUAACCUGCCUGUAAGACUGGGAUAACUCCGGGAAACCGGAGCUAAUACCGGAUAGUUCCUUGAACCGCAUGGUUCAAGGAUGAAAGACGGUUUCGGCUGUCACUUACAGAUGGACCCGCGGCGCAUUAGCUAGUUGGUGAGGUAACGGCUCACCAAGGCGACGAUGCGUAGCCGACCUGAGAGGGUGAUCGGCCACACUGGGACUGAGACACGGCCCAGACUCCUACGGGAGGCAGCAGUAGGGAAUCUUCCGCAAUGGACGAAAGUCUGACGGAGCAACGCCGCGUGAGUGAUGAAGGUUUUCGGAUCGUAAAGCUCUGUUGUUAGGGAAGAACAAGUGCAAGAGUAACUGCUUGCACCUUGACGGUACCUAACCAGAAAGCCACGGCUAACUGCGUGCCAGCACCCCCCCUAAUACGUAGGUGGCAAGCGUUGUCCGGAAUUAUUGGGCGUAAAGGGCUCGCAGGCGGUUUCUUAAGUCUGAUGUGAAAGCCCCCGGCUCAACCGGGGAGGGUCAUUGGAAACUGGGAAACUUGAGUGCAGAAGAGGAGAGUGGAAUUCCACGUGUAGCGGUGAAAUGCGUAGAGAUGUGGAGGAACACCAGUGGGCGAAGGCGACUCUCUGGUCUGUAACUGACGCUGAGGAGCGAAAGCGUGGGGAGCGAACAGGAUUAGAUACCCUGGUAGUCCACGCCGUAAACGAUGGAGUGCUAGGUGUUAGGGGGUUUCCGCCCCUUAUGUGCUGCGGCUGACCGCAUUAAGCACUCCGCCUGGGGAGUACGGUCGCAAGACUGAAACUCAAAGG
rnacentral:rRNA from 1 species